rnacentral:rRNA from 1 species
AGAGUUUGAUUAUGGCUCAGGAUGAACGCUGGCGGCGUGCUUAACACAUGCAAGUCGAACGAAGCAUUCCUAACCCUUCGGGGGAGGGAAUGACUGAGUGGCGGACGGGUGAGUAACGCGUGGGUAACCUGCCUUAUACAGGGGGAUAACAGUUAGAAAUGACUGCUAAUACCGCAUAACCCGCUAGUACUGCAUGGUACAGACGGAAAAGAUUUAUCGGUAUAAGAUGGACCCGCGUCUGAUUAGCUAGUUGGUGAGGUAAAGGCCCACCAAGGCGACGAUCAGUAGCCGGCUUGAGAGAGUGAACGGCCACAUUGGGACUGAGACACGGCCCAAACUCCUACGGGAGGCAGCAGUGGGGAAUAUUGCACAAUGGGGGGAAAAACCCCUGAUGCAGCAACGCCGCGUGAAGGAAGAAGUAUUUCGGUAUGUAAACUUCUAUCAGCAGGAAAGAAAAUGACGGUACCUGACUAAGAAGCCCCGGCUAACUACGUGCCAGCCGCCGC